CCACUUACAAAAUAUUACUCAUCGAGAAGGAGCUCCAUGCAUGGCCACAGGUAUGGUCCACCAAAUCUCCUGUGACAGCCACCAAUCCCCAAUCAUUUCACAGCCAGAUGCAGAGGAGUGAGUGGGAAGACUUGAGAAUCUACUAGAUGGAAGGGGCAUGGAUUCCUGAAUCACCACAUGGAAUCCGGCUGCCAGUUGGACUGAGACUGGUAAUUGAUGUGGGAUUGGAUGGCAUAGUUCAGUGGAAAGGACCUAGUUGAUAAUCAUACAGAGAUUCUCACCAUGGGGAAGGGAUGAUUUCUGCUACCAUCAUGCUCACCUGGGAUGAAGGAAGACUAGAGUUCGCUAGCAAGCCCUACGGUUAUAUCUUCCUUGCAUUCUUAUGAUGAGACUGUUUUUAUAUGGUGAACAUAUUCCAAAUGUAAACAAAGAAAAAUUAUGCUGAAAGCUGCUAAUGUUAAGUUUAGAGCUUGCAGAAAAUAUCAGCUAGUGAAGAACAGCUGCCAGAAUA